rnacentral:rRNA from 1 species
CCUACGGGAGGCUGCAGUGAGGAAUAUUGGUCAAUGGGCGGAAGACUGAACCAGCCAAGUAGCGUGCGGGAUGAAGGCCCUACGGGUCGUAAACCGCUUUUGCACGGGGAUAACACCCUCCACUUGUGGAGGUCUGCAGGUACCGUGCGAAUAAGGGCCGGCUAAUUCCGUGCCAGCAGCCGCGGUAAUACGGAAGGCCCGAGCGUUAUCCGGAUUGAUUGGGCUUAAAGGGAGCGUAGGCGGGCGUUCAAGUCAGCGGUAAAAUCGCGCGGCUCAACCGCGCCCCGCCGUUGAAACUGGACGCCUUGAGUUCACAACAGGCAGGCGGAAUUCGUGGUGUAGCGGUGAAAUGCAUAGAUAUCACGAGGAACCCCGAUUGCGAAGGCAGCCUGCCGGGGUGCGACUGACGCUGAGGCUCGAAGGUGCGGGUAUCAAACAGGAUUAGAUACCCUGGUAGUC